AGUAACGCGUGAGGAACCUGCCUCAAAGAGGGGGACAACAGUUGGAAACGACUGCUAAUACCGCAUAAGCCCACGGCUCGGCAUCGAGCAGAGGGAAAAGGAGUGAUCCGCUUUGAGAUGGCCUCGCGUCCGAUUAGCUAGUUGGUGAGGUAAUGGCCCACCAAGGCGACGAUCGGUAGCCGGACUGAGAGGUUGAACGGCCACAUUGGGACUGAGACACGGCCCAG
rnacentral:rRNA from 1 species